UUUUCAACAUACCAUUUCUGCUUAUCUCAGCAAGGGAGUGAACAAGUCACAGCUGGGAUCUGCAAACUUUGCAGGUAGGCAAGAAGCAGUUGCUUUUGGUUUUGUUUUGGCCAACAUAUCUGUGGCAUCUAUUUGCAUUUCCUCCACAGUGUGCGAUCGGUUUCAUCAGAGUCAGUGAUCGUAGAGAAGAGAAGGGCAGAAAACCUCAGGGCUUACCUAGCAGUGAUCCCUUGCUUAGCAGCUUAGAAACAAAGUCUAGGAACAAAGAUCUAAGAAGGCAGCAAGUGUGAAACAGGAGGUGUUGGACUCGGCAUCGUGGAAGGCUGCUUGCCUUGCUGCAGACACCGCACUGCCACCCCACCCUUGGCUGUAAGCAAGACAUUAAUAAAGGUGUGAAAUAGAGGGAAAAAACAGCACAGACAAUGCAGUGUGAGAACUGUAAGAAUGAAAGGCCUGAGUAUCGGAAAAGAACUUGGACGGAGGAAGCCCCUAGGAAGCGAAAUAAUGAAGACCUCCUGACGUACUACCUACGUCUUCAGUAUGCAAAAAAGAGAUGUUUACGUGCAAACCAGAACACCGACUAUUUCCCUCUGCUUCGUUCUGACUCCAUAAUUAGAGACAUGGAAGUACUUCAGGAGUUCAUCAAGAAGUAUGAACCACGUGGAGCCCGUUUUAUCAAAGAAGAAGUUGUUAUCAUCAGUGAAGACUAAAUAAAGUUCGCAAACCAAGAUCAUCAAUGUACCCUUACUGCGAUGGAGACUCAAACGAAGUGGAUGUGCUUCCAGACGGUGGAGAUGACCAAUUUUAGUUACUUACAUAAAUUUGGAGAGACAUACUUAAGUAGAUAAGAGAUGUACUAAUUCCAUCUGUGUGAUAAUUGAUUAAAACUGUAAUUUGGUUGUAUAAUCUUUCUAAUCCAACAACUGUGGAGAGCAGGUAAAACUACAGUACUACAGCUACACAUAUUUUUGUUCCCACUACUGUAAGACGAGGAAGGACUUUGUUAAUCAGUAUAUACAAAAUACCAGUAACCGCAAUAAAUGCGUCCAGUCUGCAUUUCCCUUCUCUUUC
rnacentral:lncRNA from 1 species